AGCGAACGUUGGCGGCGUGGAUCAGACAUGCUAGUCGAACGAGAAAACGGGGGCAACUCCGUGAGUAAAGUGGCGAAAGGGCGAGUAAUGCGUGAUCAACCUACCCUUGCGAUAGGGAUAACGAUCCGAAAGGAUCGCUAACACCUAGUGUGGCCAUGUGGAGACAUCUCCGCGUGGAGAAACGGUUGGGAUCUUUGGACCUUCUGCGCGAGGAAGGGAUCACGUCCUAUUAGCUAGUUGGUGAGGUAAUGGCUCACCAAGGCUGUGAUGGGUAGCCGGCCUGAGAGGGUGGUCGGCCGCACUGGGACUGAGACACGGCCCAGACUCCUACGGGAGGCAGCAGUCGAGAAUCUUCUGCAAUAGGCGCAAGCCUGACAGAGCGACGCCGCGUGGAGGAUGAAGGCCUUCGGGUUGUAAACUCCUGUCACCCGUUAUGAAACGCAACGCGUUAACAGCGCGUUGUCUGACAAAGGCGGGAAAGGAAGCACCGGCUAACCCUGUGCCAGCAGCCGCGGUAAGACAGGGGGUGCAAACGUUGCUCGGAAUCACUGGGCGUAAAGCGCACGUAGGUGGUCUCGUAAGUCGGGUGUGAAAUCCCUUGGCUCAACCAAGGAACUGCGCCCGAUACUGCGAGGCUCGAGGACGGGAGGGGAGAGUGGAAUUCCUGGUGGAGCGGUGAAAUGCGUAGAUAUCAGGAGGAACACCGGUGGCGAAGGCGACUCUCUGGUCCGUUCCUGACACUGAGGUGCGAAAGCUAGGGGAGCAAACGGGAUUAGAUACCCCGGUAGUCCUAGCUGUAAACGAUGGGCACUAGGUAGAGGAGAAUUCCUAUGUUCUUCUCUGCCGGAGCUAACGCGUUAAGUGCCCCGCCUGGGGAGUAUGCUCGCAAGGGUAAAACUCAAAGGAAUUGACGGGGGCUCACACAAGCGGUGGAGCAUGUGGUUCAAUUCGACGCAACGCGAAGAACCUUACCCGGGCUUGACAUGCAUGGAUUAACCGGCCGAAAGGUUGGGUACACUCGAAAGGGCGGAACAUGCACAGGUGCUGCAUGGCUGUCGUCAGCUCGUGUCGUGAGAUGUUGGGUUAAGUCCCGUAACGAGCGAAACCCUUGUCCUAAGUUGCGACCAGGUUAAGCUGAGCACUCUUAGGAAACUGCCGUUGUCAAAACGGAGGAAGGUGGGGAUGACGUCAAGUCAUCAUGGCCUUUAUGUCCGGGGCUACACACGUGCUACAAUGGCCGGUACAACGGGUUCCAAAGCCGCAAGGCCAAGGCAAUCUCUUAAAGCCGGUCUCAGUUCGGAUUGGAGGCUGCAAUUCGCCUCCAUGAAGCCGGAAUCGCUAGUAAUCGCGGAUCAGCUACGCCGCGGUGAAUAUGUUCCUGAGCCUUGUACACACCGCCCGUCAAGCCACGAAAGCUGAGAGUACCUGAAGUCGCUUGCCUAACCGCAAGGAGGGCGGCGCCCACGGUAAGCUCGGUGAUUGGG
rnacentral:rRNA from 1 species